GACGAACGCUGGCGGCGUGCUUAACACAUGCAAGUCGAACGGAAAGGCCCUUCUUUUGUGGGGUGCUCGAGUGGCGAACGGGUGAGUAACACGUGAGUACCCUUCCCUUGACUUUGGGAUAACUUCAGGAAACUGGGGCUAUUACCGGAUAGGAGCUCCUGCUGCAUGGUGGGGGUUGGAAAGUUGCGGCGGUUGGGGUUGGACGGGCGGGUUAUCAGCUUGUUGGUGGGGGAGUGGCUUACCAAGGCUUUGAAGGGUAGCCGGCCUGAGGGGGGGACCGGCGACAAGGGGACUGAGAUACGGACCAGACGCGAAUGGGAGGCAGCAGUGGGGAAUAUGGCACAAUGGGCGGAAGUCUGAGGAAGAAACGCCGCGGGCGGGAUGAAGGCCUGUGGGUUGUAAACCGCUUUCGCCUGUGACGAAGCGUGAGUGACGGUAAUGGGUAAAGAAGCACCGGCUAACUACGUG
rnacentral:rRNA from 1 species